rnacentral:rRNA from 1 species
AUACAGGUUGUUGCAGUUAAAAGCUCGUAGUUGGAUUUCGGAUGCGGAGGCGCGGUCUGCCUCUGGUACGUACUGCGUUUUCCGCAUCUUUCUGCCGGGGACGGCUCUCUGGGCUUCACUGUCUGGAGGUCGGAAUCGGCGAAGUGACCUUGAGCAAACAAGAGUGUUCAAAGCAAGCCUACGCUCUGAAUUUUUUAGCAUGGAAUCACACGAUAGGACUCUGGCCUAUCUUGUUGGUCUGUAGGACCGGAGUAAUGAUUAAGAGGGACAGUCGGGGGCAUUCGUAUUUCAUUGUCAGAGGUGAAAUUCUUGGAUUUAUGAAAGACGAACAUCUGCGAAAGCAUUUGCCAAGGAUGUUUUCAUUGAUCAAGAACGAAAGUUGGGGGCUCGAAG